AACGAACAGGAGUGGGGACACAGCUGCAGAGGGCUUCCCGAGCUGAACCAUCUCUGGGCUCCUGCCGUCCCUGUGGUCCCCGACAUGGGCUUGGGGCCUGGGGUCAGCAGCUGCAGAUAUGCAGAUGAUCAAACACAGAGCCUCAACCCUUUCUUUCCUGCCGCAGCAGUGAGGGCUGCAAGCCACGCCCAUCGAUGAAGCAGCAGAAGCAAGAGAGGUUAAGAGACCUUGGCACGGCCCAGAGAAAGCACAGCUCAGGGAAACCGCCGGGUGACUGCCGGAGCCUGGAUCCAGCCAUGCCUGAAGACAGUGCAGCUUCUGUGAGAUGAGGAGAUUCUCUUCUUGUUUCAGUUGCCAGGAACCGUGCUUUCUCGCCCUCCUCUACUGCCACGACCUGGUCAGGUGAUCUAGAACCUGCCAGUGGGACACACCUUCAUGAGUUUGAUUCAGAAGAGAGGCAGAGAGACCUUGUGCUUUGGCGCCUGCAGUGGCAGAAGCCUGGGGCCCGGGGCCCGGGGCCCGGGGGGUGACUCUGGAGCCUUGUCCCCUCCUGCGGUGCUGUUGUGAGAACAGAUGAGGAAACUGGACUUGGAAUGAAUGUUUUGGUGCCUCCACCGUGAACCCCUCACCCGCUGAGGGCAGAGCCGGGACCCUGUCUGCUCCGCCGCCCAGUCGGAGCCCCUGUGAUGGGGGUCAG